UGGGGAAUUUUGGACAAUGGGCGAAAGCCUGAUCCAGCAAUGCCGCGUGUGUGAAGAAGGCCUUCGGGUUGUAAAGCACUUUUGUCCGGAAAGAAAUCCUUGGCUCUAAUACAGUCGGGGGAUGACGGUACCGGAAGAAUAAGCACCGGCUAACUACGUGCCAGCAGCCGCGGUAAUACGUAGGGUGCAAGCGUUAAUCGGAAUUACUGGGCGUAAAGCGUGCGCAGGCGGUUUGCUAAGACCGACGUGAAAUCCCCGGGCUCAACCUGGGAACUGCAUUGGUGACUGGCAGGCUAGAGUAUGGCAGAGGGGGGUAGAAUUCCACGUGUAGCAGUGAAAUGCGUAGAGAUGUGGAGGAAUACCGAUGGCGAAGGCAGCCCCCUGGGCCAAUACUGACGCUCAUGCACGAAAGCGUGGGGAGCAAACAGGAUUAGAUACCCUGGUAGUCCACGCCCUAAACGAUGUCAACUAGUUGUGGGAUUCAUUCCUUAGUAACGUAGCUAACGCGUGAAGUUGACCGCCUGGGGAGUACGGUCGCAAGAUUAAAACUCAAAGGAAUUGAC
rnacentral:rRNA from 1 species